rnacentral:misc_RNA from 1 species
GGGAGAGGUGCCGGCAGCUUCAGGCUGAAGAUGUUGUUGUCAAGGGUCAGGUAGUAGGAGGAAACAGAGGUGGAGUUGUAGCCAUUGUGGAGGGCCUCCGGGGAUUUGUUCCAUUUUCACAGAUAUCAUCAAAAUCAACUGCAGAGGAGCUCCUCGGUAAGGAUCUGCCCCUGAAAUUUGUGGAGGUUGAUGAGGAGCAGUCAAGGCUUGUCCUCAGUAAUCGGAAGGCCAUGGCAGACAGCCAAGCGCAGCUUGGAAUUGGUUCUGUCGUCCUUGGUACUGUUCAGAG